CAGCGCGAAAGCCCCAGCGAACGCGUGGUGGGUCCGGGAAAGCCCUCGGGCGGCCCCGGCAGCUCUGUUUUCGGACGGAGGAAGACCAAAAUUGCCGUUUUCACGGUGCGUAGUGCGGCUCGGCGGGCUUCUGGUGCGUGUCUCCGCUGAACAAGCAGGGGCGCGUGCCGGGGGUUGCCCCGCGUCGGCGUGUGUGGCGCAUGGGUAAGAUUGCUAGCCCUCGUUCGGCGGGCCAACGUGCGUCAUAUGCUCUGGAGCGGCGGCAUGCUUUGCUGUGCUGCGUACCUGGAGGGCGGCAGCCAACCAGCACGAUGAACAUACGAACAUACCCAAAAGAUA
rnacentral:misc_RNA from 1 species